CAGGGAGACAACACAAUGAUUUUGAUGCCUGAGUGCUUUUAUUCUUAGGCCGAAAUCCUGUCACCUUAGGUCGAUCGGUACCUCAGCUUUGAAGUCAAGGAUCAGCAGCAAUGUUGAUUGCUUGAUGGAGAUUUUCAGUUCCUAAACUUUGUCUAGGUCACACCCCAAAAGGGAUGAGACUCCUGGGCCAUUAGCUCAGGUGGUUAGAGCGCACCCCUGAUAAGGGUGAGGUCCCUGGUUCAAGUCCAGGAUGGCCCAUUCGGUGUUGGGGGUUUAGCUCAGUUGGUAGAGCGCCUGCUUUGCAAGCAGGAUGUCAGGAGUUCGAGUCUCCUAACCUCCACUGACCGAACUUGAUUCCCAUCUCCAAUUUUUUGGAGUUGAGCUCGAUUGGAGUGUGAUUUAGACGUGUCCGCUGGAUGACCCCAGCUUCCUGUCAUUCCAAGUUUUAGGUUGAUGCCUUGAAUUUGGUUGAUAAGAUGCUGGGCUCGGAUCAAGUGAUCAAGCAAUUGAUGAUUUGAUUUGAAGUUCUAGCAGAACCUUGACAACUGCAUAGGUGAGUCUGGAAAAAACAAAGCAUCUUACAGAUGCAUUGUUUUGAAUCUGAUCUUCUGAAAGGAAGAUUGGAUCUAGAACAAUGAAAAUUCUUUUGAGCAAGAGCCGAGACUCUUGAACGUUCUUUGAUUGGUGUCGAGCCAAUCAGAGUUUGAUCUUGUUUUUAGCAAUAAAAACUUGAGAAUCUGCUUUCAACGGCGGUAAGCGUUCAGGAGGUUAAUU
rnacentral:tRNA from 1 species